UACGAAGGGGGCUAGCGUUGUUCGGAAUUACUGGGCGUAAAGGGUGUGUAGGUGGCUUAGUACGUCAGGAGUGAAAUCCCCAGGCUCAACCUGGGAAUUGCUUUUGAGACUACUAAGCUUGAGUACAGGAGAGGUGAGUGGAAUUCCCAGUGUAGAGGUAAAAUUCGUAGAUAUUGGGAGGAACACCAGUGGCGAAGGCGGCUCACUGGCCUGUAACUGACACUGAGACACGAAAGCGUGGGGAGCAAACAGG
rnacentral:rRNA from 1 species